GAAAAAUGCAAACAGUUGUCCCCGUGACUCGGGGCCCUGGUGAUUCAUGCUGCUCUUUUGCUUCCUGUCUCCUGGCUCCUUCCUCUUCUCUCACUGCCUUCUCAGCUAAGACAAGGUCUUCCUAUGUAGCCUACGCUGGCUUGGACUUCGCUGUGAUCUUCCUGUGUCAGCCUGCAGACUGCUGGGAUUACAGGAAGGACAACGAGGAGCUGUUCCUUCUUCCUGUUACUGGUUUUUUUUUUUUUUUCCCCCUGUUACUGUUGAUGCACAUAAUAAAGUGGCAAAAUCCACAGAGUAAUCACUGUGUCCUUAUCAAUCAAAUCUGCUCCCCUGGCUGUGACCUCACUGCCCACUGUCCAUGUGUUCAUUUAUCACUUGUGUUUGCUCUUGAUGGAAUGAUUAUUCCUGUCUCUUUCACCUUGCUAGGCUUGCUGGUUGCCUGUUGCAUUUUCAGUUUUAUUUGUACUAGAAGCUAAUGCUUUGUAAAAUAUGUAUUUACAAACAUUUUCUCUUUCUCUGUAGUUCAUUUUUCGUUCUCUGAAUGGGUUCUUCAAUAGAGCAAAGCAAUGAUUACAUGAUGGAAUUUAAUGUUUCUAAUGCUUUUAGGUUAAGCACCCACAAUAAAAAAAAUCACAGGAAGAGAAAACAAUCCUGAAAUUCAUUUGGAACUAGAAGAGGCCUAGAAUAGCAAAGGCAAUCCUGAGCAGCAAAAACAAAGAAGAGGAGACAUCACAAUACUUGACUUGAAAUUAUACUACAAAGGUACUGUGAUUUAAAAAAAAAAAAAAAAGAGCAUGGUACUGGCAAAAGCCACACCUGAGUUAGAUAGGUAGCUAAGUUAGAUAGAACAUUAUUGGCAGUCAGACAGGACUAAGCCCUUGAAGGAGCCAGUGCAGAAGGCCAGGUACCUUGCAGCUGUAGGGGUGACAAACUCUGCUGCCUGUGGGCCAGACCUUCACCCAAAAAAUAAAACAAAUGCACCCAUACCCUAAGGAUAAACGUCAGGAUUUAUAUUCUAAAUUGGUAUCAAUCACUUUGAGGAAGCUAGAGAAGCCACUAACCUGACUCACUACAGACAAAGGCCUUAUUCUAUAUUCAUAUAUGAAUGCUUGCUGUGAAUUCAUGUAUGCUUGCUAUCUGACUCGCUUCCCCGUUGGAUCCUGAUUUAAUCAAUGUUACCUUAGCGGUUAUACUCGCUAUCUUAUUGGUUGACGAUAGUUCUGUCCCACCUUGUGAGUUUCCAUUUCCCCCCACCUUGGACCUCCUGCACCUUAUUGUUUUGCUCUACUAGAUCCCUAGAAAAGGCAGGGUCUACGGCCACCCACUUGGACAUCCCUCUGUCUCUCUCUUGGACAGAAGCUUUCUUUCCCUCAAGAAAUAUGUCCUGCUCUUAACCUCCACUGUUCCUAAAAUUCAUUCUUUGAUUUUAGAGAACAAGAUCUCUUACAGGACUAGUAGAUUGGGAGUUUCUUUCCCCUAUAUCAUGAGGAUCAAUGGAACAGAUUAGAAAAUGCAGAACAAUUCAGAUUAUACUUAGUCAUGUUAUUUUUGACAAAGGAGCUAAAUGCAUUCCCUAGAAGAAAGAUGUCUCUUUUAAUAAAUUGUUUGGAAAAACUGGCUGUCUACCAGACAAGGGUUAAAAUUAGACCUAUGUCUUUCACUGUGCUCUGUACUAAACUCAAGACAGAUGAAAGUUCUAAGUAUUUAAAACAGCAACACAAAAUCUGCUGAAAGACUGAAUAGGUAGAACUCUUGAACUACGGUUGAAAAAAAUUUUGGCAGCGACAACAUCACCUUGUCUUGAAGGCCUAUAUUGUCAGUGUUUUGGACUCUUUGCUACUGUUACGUAUUUGUCUUGUUUUAUGUUUUUCUAGGAAUUCAUUUUGUUUUUCCUUCUAAUACAGAAAGGAUAGGUAUAUAUGUAGAGACACAUGUGUAGGACUUCUCCUAAAACAUUGUAUGAGUAUUGAUUAUAUAAUGCAUGAUGAAAUGAACAGCUACUUUGAAGAAAAAGAGACACUAAGGUACACAAUUCUGUUUUCGUAGUGUCGUACUGUGAAAUCCAGUGACAUUUCUAACUAAAUGAAUGCAGCACACUCUUAAGUGAAAUAAAACAGACCCACAUAUGUAAAUACUGCUUGGUUUCUCUGGUGUAAGAAAGCAAAGGUGUAAAUAAGGACCAAAAUUAUAACAGAUAUGGUGAAAUUAGAAGAACAUGUUCAAAUGGAGAGAACAGUAUGGAGAAAUGAAAGGAAAAGGAGGAAAGAAAAAAUAGAAAAAUGGAAAUAAAGCUUUAGUAAAUGAGAGGAAGAGGGGUUGAAAAGAGGAUAGAGAAACAGGAAAAAAUGAAUCAAGUUAUAUCAUGCACGCAAACGUAUUUCCUAAAUAAAUGUGAUCACUGUCUAAACUUAAUUAUAAAUAAAAAUUCGAUCUUCAGAAUCAAGAGUUUUUUUAAAAGUCACACAAAAAGUUCCCUCAUUUUCCCCUCAAUUCACAGUCUCUUUUCUCCUUCUGUUAACACCUUGUUUAGUAUGAUCUAUUCGCUACCCCUGAUGCAGCUGCUUUCCAAAGCUUGGGAACAAGUAGUACUUCACUGUCUCAAUAAAGAGCUGCCUUUUCCAGAAAUUCACACACUUGCAGUUAAAGCAUAGCCAUCGACCUCUGGUGGUUUUCAGUUAGCAGUAUACAUUUAACCUUCCUGCAUGCAUCUUGUGGCUGGAAGUUGUCUGUUUUCAUCUCAGAAUAACAUUCUAUUUAUGGAUGCACCACUGCAUAACCACUCAGGUAUGGAGCAGCAGCUCAAUUGCUUCUGGGUUUUGGCAAUUAUGGAAAAAAGCUGCUCGAAUCAUCCUUGUGCGGUUUGUGUGUGGAUUUAAAUUUUGAGUACAUUUGUGUGAACACUGAGGAGUGUGAUUUUCAGACAUACAGUAAGACAAUGUUUAUUUUUGCUCAGCGAUAUCCAACACACUUUUACUGUUGCUGUUAGAGUUUGCAUGUCCAUGAGCAAUGAAUGAGUUUCUUUCUGAUGAUUCACUACCUUUGCAACGUUUCACAUCACCAUCUAUUUAUGUAUUUACAUCAUUCUCAG